rnacentral:rRNA from 1 species
AUUGAACGCUGGCGGAAUGCUUUACACAUGCAAGUCGAACGGCAGCACGGACUUCGGUCUGGUGGCGAGUGGCGAACGGGUGAGUAAUGUAACGGAACGUGCCCAGUCGUGGGGGAUAACGUAGUGAAAUUUACGCUAAUACCGCAUACGAUCUAUGGAUGAAAGCGGGGGAUCGCAAGACCUCGCGCGAUUGGAGCGGCCGAUAUCAGAUUAGGUAGUUGGUGGGGGAAAGGCCCACCAAGCCAACGAUCUGUAGCUGGUCUGAGAGGACGACCAGCGACACUGGAACUGAGACACGGUCCAGACUCUUACGGGAGGCAGCAGUGGGGAAUUUUGGACAAUGGGCGAAAGCCUGAUCCAGCCAUUCCGCGUGCAGUAUGAAGGACCUCGGGUUGUAAACUGCUUUUGUACAGAACGAAAAGGUUUCUACUAAUACUAGGAGCUCAUGACGGUACUGUAAGAAUAAGCACCGGCUAACUACGUGCCAGCCGCCGCCGUAA